rnacentral:rRNA from 1 species
GACGAACGCUGGCGGCGUGCCUAAAACAUGCAAGUCGAACGGAGUAGCAAUACUCAGUGGCGAACGGCGGAGUAAUACAUAAGCAACGUGCCCUGAAGACUGGGAUAGCGGACCGAAAGGUCCAGUAAUACCGGAUGUGGCCCUCAUGAGACAUCUCGAGAGGAUUAAAUGGUUUUUCGCUUCAGGAGCGGCUUAUGACCUAUCAGCUUGUUGGCGAGGUAACGGCUCACCAAGGCGACGACGGGUAGGGGGUCUGAGAGGAUGAUCCCCCCGAGUGGGACUGAGACACGGCCCACACACCUACGGGUGGCAGCAGUUGGGAAUCUUGCACAAUGGGGGAAACCCUGAUGCAGCGACGCCGCGUGGAGGAUGACGGAUCUAGGUCUGUAAACUCCUUUUUCAUGGAAAGACUUAGGACGGUACCAUGAGAAUAAGGACCGGCUAACUACGUGC